AACGCACGAGACCUGCGGACCUGCGGAGGGAUCAUUACUGAGUUAUCCAACUCCCAACCCCUGUGAAUUAUACCUUUAAUUGUUGCUUCGGCGGGACUUCGCGCCCGCCGGGGACCCAAACCUUCUGAAUUUUUUAAUAAGUAUCUUCUGAGUGGUUAAAAAAAUGAAUCAAAACUUUCAGCAACGGAUCUCU
rnacentral:misc_RNA from 1 species